UUUCUCUGUACACAAAGACAGAUCGACCCUUCUUAUAACUUCAAUUUCAUUGUACAGAAACAUCAAAACAGUAAUAAAUAUGCCAACAAAACUGUUGUAAAGCACAUUCCUAAGCCUUAUCUCAAGAUACAAUCCUGCUGCAUUUCACCCUUAUACUCAAGAGUCAGCUGACAAUAUUCAAUAGCUUCAACAUCUAAGAACCAGAGCAUUGGUGUCAACAACCGGGUUUCUUUCUUCUCCCAGGAGCCCGAAUCAAUGUCUAGCUUGGACUCAGAUAGAGGGCAGCCAAACUAGGAUCAAAGACAACAUGCUAGGAACUGAGAACCCUGCGUCGUUCGGUUAACACUUUUAACAUCUGUGGAGUGGAGCAGGAUAUAGGUCCAGUGGCUGAUAUCUCACCCGAUCGUUGUGAGGCAAGGGUCCCUCCUGAAGAAAUUGCAAGGAAAUAGAAGUUUAUUACCAUCACUACUAACAAUAGAGCCAAACUCCAUGGAAGAAGGUUUCAGAAACAUAAACAAGCACCAUGCAAAGUGAGAAAACAUACAGGAUCCUGAUUUAAGUAAAAACUUGAUUCCACAUCAGAAAUUGAUGAAAAUAUAACAAGAAUAACAGGCUUGGAGACACUAUAUAAGUCAUCCAAUCAGGCAGGGAUGGUUUCUGUCUAACUUUUAAAGAAAAUGUGGAUUGUCCAAACACUGAUGUUGAGAGGUACUAAAUGGAAAUUGGUGAAGGAUGGGCAUAUACUAUUCAUAACACUGACAAUUCCAAAGUAUGUGCCUGUUCACCUUCAAACCACUCAUUGCAAUUUCUUCUGUCUCUUCAAUGUACUGCAUCAAUACCAAAUGUCACUACUGGCAUAUUACAAUGGAAAAAGCAAUGCCAAAGGGACUGUAAUGUAAGCCUCCUUAUGUAUCAUUUUACAUUUUCCUUUUUGUUACAACUUACAAUUGGUUGCAACUGGAAUAAUUUUUAUGGUUUGAUUUAGAUGAUCAUUCAGACUAAAAUAAUGGAUGUCAUUCUGUUCAUUUGUUCAAUGAAAACCUGGCAAAAUGACCCAAUUUGCUGGGCUAUUAGGCGAUACCAAAGACAAAGCAUUUAUCCUUCCUUUUCCAUGCUGACACAUGUUAUAGAUAUAGGGAUUAGGCAUAUGUCCAUAAUCAUGCAUGGUUGCAAGUUUCUUUAGGUCACAGCAUCGAACAAGUCAGCAGGCAUUGAGACCCAUGAUUGUCUCUGUCAUAUUGAACACACCCAUAUAUGAAUGGAAGAAAGUAUACAUACCCUUGUUAAUUCUCGACUGAACAGCUCAGAUACUUCAAGUGUCAUGUUGGCAAGAAUCACAAAAGGGUCAUCCCACUAAGAUGAAGAAUGUUAUGUAAUGAGUUAACAACAAAGAUAUAUGUAGAAAAUAAUCUACUAAGCAUUAAGAAAAACCAUGUAAUGGGUUAGUUGCUCUGGGUCACUUUAAUACCUGCUCUUGAAGUAAUAAUGAUACUACAGAUCCUUAACAGGGCUUUGAAAAUCAUAACAAUGUGUCCAAAUAAAGUGCAAAUCAUAAAGGUAAAACAAGUCUCAUGGAAUGAGCAUUACUAGAUUUGAAUUCCAUGUCCAAAGAAUUUUCCUAAGCCUUGCUUCCAACUCAUCUCAAGGGCGAGGUUUAGGAGCCUUAAGUCUACUGAUAGACAGCCAAGUUCAAAAUGCAACUGUCUUCACUUCUAUUAUAAAUUUCCUCCUUUUAUUUGUAGACAUCAAUUAAAUUGCAACUGUCUUCACUUCUAUUUCCAGGGAAGCUAAUAGGAUGAAUAAACAUGGUAGACAUCAAUUAAAUUGCAUGCAAUGCGUGUGUUAUCAAGCAACAUGUGUGAGGAUUGUUCCCCAUGUUUGGAAAAAGUAAGAUAGACACCCUUGUACACCCUUGUACUUUUAGUACAUUGGCCUUGUACACUUAGUGUAAAUGCCUUGUCCAGUCACCAAAUCCAUAAUAGGUACAUAUUUCCAAGUGAAUAUGGGUGGGUAACCAAUGUUUCCAUUACCAUGGAAUAGGGAAAAUGACACAAAAGGUUACCCUAAUUUCGGUACAUAUUCAUCAUUACUAGGGAAGCUAANNNNNNNNNNNNNNNNNNNNNNNNNNNNNNNNNNNNNNNNNNNNNNNNNNNNNNNNNNNNNNNNNNNNNNNNNNNNNNNNNNNNNNNNNNNNNNNNNNNNNNNNNNNNNNNNNNNNNNNNNNNNNNNNNNNNNNNNNNNNNNNNNNNNNNNNNNNNNNNNNNNNNNNNNNNNNNNNNNNNNNNNNNNNNNNNNNNUAGGGAAAAUGACACAAAAGGUUACCCUAAUUUCGGUACAUAUCAUCAUUACUAGGGAAGCUAAUAGGAUGAAUGAACAUGGUAGACAUCAAUUAAAUUGCAUGCAAUGCGUGUGUUAUCAAGCAACAUGUGUGAGGAUUGUUCCCACGUUUGGAAAAAGUAAGAUAGACACCCUUGUACUUUUAGUACAUUGGCCUUGUACACUUAGUGUAAAUGCCUUGUCCAGUCACCAAAUCCCUAAUAGGUACAUAUUUCCAAGUGAAUAUGGGUGGGUAACCAAUGUGUCUAUUACCAUGGACUAGGGAAAAUGACACAAAAGGUUACCCUAAUUUCGGUACAUAUUCAUCAUUACUAGGGAAGCUAAUAGGAUGAAUGAACAUGGUAGACAUCAAUUAAAUUGCAUGCAAUGCGUGUGUUAUCAAGCAACAUGUGUGAGGAUUGUUCCCCACGUUUGGAAAAAGUAAGAUAGACACCCUUGUACUUUUAGUACAUUGGCCUUGUACACUUAGUGUAAAUGCCUUGUCCAGUCACCAAAUCCCUAAUAGGUACAUAUUUCCAAGUGAAUAUGGGUGGGUAACCAAUGUUUCCAUUACCAUGGACUAGGGAAAAUGACACAAAAGGUUACCCUAAUUUCGGUACAUAUUCAUCAUUACUAGGGAAACUAAUAGGAUGAAUGAACAUGGUAGACAUCAAUUAAAUUGCAUGCAAUACGUGUGUUAUCAAGCAACAUGUGUGAGGAUUGUUCCCCACGUUUAGAAAAAGUAAGAUAGACACCCUUGUACACCCUUGUACUUUUAGUACAUUGGCCUUGUACACUUAGUGUAAAUGCCUUGUCCAGUCACCAAAUCCCUAAUAGGUACAUAUUUCCAAGUGAAUAUGGGUGGGUAACCAAUGUUUCCAUUACCAUGGACUAGGGAAAAUGACACAAAAGGUUACCCUAAUUUCGGUACAUAUUCAUCAUUACUAGGGAAGCUAAUAGGAUGAAUGAACAUGGUAGACAUCAAUUAAAUUGCAUGCAAUGCGUGUGUUAUCAAGCAACAUGUGUGAGGAUUGUUCCCCACGUUUGGAAAAAGUAAGAUAGACACCCUUGUACUUUUAGUACAUUGGCCUUGUACACUUAGUGUAAAUGCCUUGUCCAGUCACCAAAUCCCUAAUAGGUACAUAUUUCCAAGUGAAUAUGGGUGGGUAACCAAUGUGUCUAUUACCAUGGACUAGGGAAAAUGACACAAAAGGUUACCCUAAUUUCGGUACAUAUUCAUCAUUACUAGGGAAGCUAAUAGGAUGAAUGAACAUGGUAGACAUCAAUUAAAUUGCAUGCAAUGCGUGUGUUAUCAAGCAACAUGUGUGAGGAUUGUUCCCCACGUUUGGAAAAAGUAAGAUAGACACCCUUGUACUUUUAGUACAUUGGCCUUGUACACUUAGUGUAAAUGCUUGUCAGUCACCAAAUCCUAUAGUANNNNNNNNNNNNNNNNNNNNNNNNNNNNNNNNNNNNNNNNNNNNNNNNNNNNNNNNNNNNNNNNNNNNNNNNNNNNNNNNNNNNNNNNNNNNNNNNNNNNCUUCUUUUUCCAAAAAGUAAGAUAGACACCCUUGUACACCCUUGUACUUUUAGUACAUUGGCCUUGUACACUUAGUGUAAAUGCCUUGUCCAGUCACCAAAUCCCUAAUAGGUACAUAUUUUCAAGUGAAUAUGGGUGGGUAACCAAUGUUUCCAUUACCAUGGACUAGGGAAAAUGACACAAAAGGUUACCCUAAUUUCGGUUCAUAUUCAUCAUUACUAGGGAAGCUAAUAGGAUGAAUGAACAUGGUAGACAUCAAUUAAAUUGUAUGCAAUGCGUGUGUUAUCAAGCAACAUGUGUGAGGAUUGUUCCCCACGUUUGGAAAAAGUAAGAUACACACCCUUGUACACCCUUGUACUUUUAGUACAUUGGCCUUGUACACUUAGUUUAAAUGCCUUGUACACUUGCAGAAAUUCCACAUAGAUACAACAGAACUAGUGCAUAUGGCCAGGUUAACCACGUUUCAAUGUCAUGACUCACUAAAAAGGGGAAAAAUGACACCAAAUCGAGGUUCCUAUUCAUCAUAAGCGCGCUAUCUCAUCCAAUGAAUGUGUACGAAGGGAAAUGAGGAAUGUCCCCCUUGGAAAAAAAUAAGUGAGCAAGCAAUUUUUUCAAAAGCAUUUGAAAUCCUUCAAGAUAGACACCCUUGUACACACUUGUACAGUUAACACAUUUGCUUUGUACACUUAGUGUAAAUGCCUUGUCCAGUCACCAAAUCCCUAAUAGGUACAUAUUUUCAAGUGAAUAUGGGUGGGUAACCAAUGUUUCCAUUACCAUGGACUAGGGAAAAUGACACAAAAGGUUACCCUAAUUUCGGUUCAUAUUCAUCAUUACUAGGGAAGCUAAUAGGAUGAAUGAACAUGGUAGACAUCAAUUAAAUUGCAUGCAAUGCGUGUGUUAUCAAGCAACAUGUGUGAGGAUUGUUCCCCACGUUUGGAAAAAGUAAGAUACACACUCUUGUACACCCUUGUACUUUUAGUACAUUGGCCUUGUACACUUAGUUUAAAUGCCUUGUACACUUGCAGAAAUUCCACAUAGAUACAACAGAACUAGUGCAUAUGGCCAGGUUAACCACGUUUCAAUGUCAUGGCUCACUGAAAAGGGGAAAAAUGACACCAAAUCGAGGUUCUUAUUCAUUAUAAGCGCGCUAUCUCAUCCAAUGAAUGUUUAGAAAUGUAAAUGAGGAAUGUCUAUGAGGAAUGUCUAUGAGGAAUGUCACCCUUAGAAAAAUAAAAUGAGCAAGCAAUUUAUUCAAAACCAUUUGAAAUCCUUCAACAUAUGUAGCAUUGUACACACUUGUACAGUUACCACAUUUGCAUUGUACACUUAGUGUAAAUGUCUUAUACAAUGCCAAAAAUUUGACAUACCUAAAACUAAUAGCGUGCAUAUGGGUGAGCUACCAUGUUCCAAUGUGAUGCCUAAGGGAAAAUGGGGAAGGGAAAAGGGGGAAGUGAAACCCAAUAUAGGUUCUUAUUCAUCAUUAUUGUCGUUGGUCAUCCAAUCAACAUGUAUGAAGUAAUAAAAUUGAAGGGGAUCAGUGCGUGAUCAAGGAAUGUGUGUGAGGGAAUGUUCCUCAUCCUUUCAAAAUGGAAAUGAUUUUAAAACAUUGCAAAUACUUCAACAUAGGUACAUUUGUACACCCUUGUACAUUAAGCACAGGUACCUUGUACACUUAGUGUAAAUGUCUUGUACACAGACAUAAAUUCCAUACAACCACUACUGAAUGUAUACUCAUGCAUAGGUUAAUCAUGAUUGCAAUCUUUUGGUUAAUAAAAUAAGGAAAAACUGAAGUCUCAAUUUGUUCCCUAUACUUUUGUAACAAUACAAGGAAAUUAAAUAAUAGCAAUUUGUCCAUUAAUGUGAAGUUAUUCGAAGUUAAUUCCAACUUUCUAGCUAGAAUUCAAAAGAAGAUUAUAUGUUAAGCAUGGCAAAUUAUUAUUCAAACAUAUAUUUUAUUCAGUAAAAAGCAUGCCUAAAGAUGGGUUCCAUUCAACUAGUGAACAGCUUUUUAAACAUCACAUGUGGCACCAGGCCUAACAAUUGUCUACAAUUUACGAGGAAACUCUGAAGAAGACCAAAAUGCUUCUAACUGUGGCUCACUUUUAGAGUACUCACCAUUUUCUCAUCCAACCAAUUCUUCAGAGCCAAAC
rnacentral:lncRNA from 1 species